UAAUUUCUUUUAUCUUUAACUUUGGAACAUACAUGGUCACUCGAAUAGAUAUUAAGGAAGAUAUAGCAGAGAAGGAGCUGGCAUCUUCGUGCCCUUCCAACUGGAGGAAAUGGAAGCGAGACUGUUGUAUUUUCCCCUUGUAAACCAGCGAUAUGGGAGGACACCAUUAUUACAAAUUUGAAGUCUGACUGCGUGUUAUUGGCAAGAUACCUACGUGGAUGAUAUCGACAAGCUCGAUGGCCACAAUGAACCAGAUGUUGUCAACUACAUGGAGGACAUCUAUAAGUACUACAAGGCAGCACUGGCUAUUCUUUUCCCCAGGUUCUUAUUGAUCUCUUCUUUGCAUGAGCUUCUGAACACACAUCUAAUGCUUCUAA